UGGGGAAUAUUGGACAAUGGGCGCAAGCCUGAUCCAGCCAUGCCGCGUGAGUGAUGAAGGCUCUAGGGUUGUAAAGCUCUUUCGCCGGGGAAGAUAAUGACGGUACCCGGAGAAGAAGCCUCGGCUAACUCCGUGCCAGCAGCCGCGGUAAGACGGAGGAGGCUAGCGUUGUUCGGAAUUACUGGGCGUAAAGCGCAUGAAGGUGGUGAAGUAAGCCGGAUGUGAGAUCCCAGGGCUUAACCCUGGAAGUGCAUCCGGGACUGCUUUGCUCGAGUCCGGAAGAGGAGGGCGGAAUUCCCAGUGUAGAGGUGAAAUUCGUAGAUAUUGGGAAGAACACCAGUGGCGAAGGCGGCUCUCUGGUCCGGUACUGACACUUUAGUGCGAAAGCGUGGGGAGCAAACAGGAUUAGAUACCCAUGUAGUCCCUGAGCGGGCUGGCAAGGCGCAU
rnacentral:rRNA from 1 species